rnacentral:antisense_RNA from 1 species
AUGUCUAGUCCACAUCAGGAUAGCCUCUUACCGCGCUUUGCGCAAGGAGAAGAAGGCCAUGAAACUACCACGAAGUUCCCUUGUCUGGUGUGUGUUGAUCGUGUGUCUCACACUGUUGAUAUUUACUUAUCUGACACGAAAAUCGCUGUGCGAGAUUCGUUACAGAGACGGACACAGGGAGGUGGCGGCUUUCAUGGCUUACGAAUCCGGUAA